UACGUAGGGGGCAAGCGUUGUCCGGAUUUAUUGGGCGUAAAGAGCGUGUAGGCGGCCAGAUAGGUCCGUUGUGAAAACUGGAGGCUUAACCUCCAGCGGUCGAUGGAAACCAUUUGGCUAGAGUCCGGAAGAGGAGAGUGGAAUUCCUGGUGUAGCGGUGAAAUGCGUAGAUAUCAAGAGGAACACCUGAGGUGAAGACGGGUUGCUGGGCCAACACUGACGCUGAGGCGCGAAAGCCAGGGGAGCAAACGGG
rnacentral:rRNA from 1 species